AGUCUUUAAUUACUAACCGCUUUAGUUCAAGCAGCGUCUCCUGCUGUUUCUUCUUCUCGUUGAUGAUCAUGGACUUCGAAGCUCAGGCUCAGAAAAGUUCGGACGAUUCUUCAACGUAUUAGCUGCUUGUUUAUUCUUUCUGGCGGAGCUCCUGCUCGUAGCGUGUUCGCUUUGCGUUGAAUCUUAAAGGGCUUUCUUACGAGUACAGAGCAGUAAACCUUGGGAGAGGAGAACAAUUAACUCCAGGUGGCAAGUAUUGUCAGCUUGAACCUAUAGCAAGGCCUGUCUAGCUCAGUUGGUAGAGCGCAAGGCUCUUAACCUUGUGGUCAUGGGUUCGAACCCCAAGAAAACUAUGGAGGAAAAAUUUGGUCCAGAAUAGCAACUACCAUGUGCUCAGUCCAAUCUACAAAAAAGGUUUCAAUGAUCGUGAGAAACUGCUAAAGGAUUUUUCUGGCCAAUAUGCUUUUGGAGAUAAGUACAUAUGGCACGUUUCAA